rnacentral:rRNA from 1 species
GACCAGACUCCUACGGGAGGCAGCAGUGGGGAAUAUUGCACAAUGGGGGAAACCCUGAUGCAGCGACGCCGCGUGAGCGAUGAAGUAUUUCGGUAUGUAAAGCUCUAUCAGCAGGGAAGAAAAUGACGGUACCUGACUAAGAAGCCCCGGCUAACUACGUGCCAGCAGCCGCGGUAAUACGUAGGGGGCAAGCGUUAUCCGGAUUUACUGGGUGUAAAGGGAGCGUAGACGGCUGUGCAAGCCAGAUGUGAAAGCCCGGGGCUCAACCCCGGGACUGCAUUUGGAACUGUGUGGCUGGAGUGUCGGAGAGGCAGGCGGAAUUCCUAGUGUAGCGGUGAAAUGCGUAGAUAUUAGGAGGAACACCAGUGGCGAAGGCGGCCUGCUGGACGAUGACUGACGUUGAGGCUCGAAAGCGUGGGGAGCAAACAGGAUUAGAUACCCGAGUAGA